rnacentral:rRNA from 1 species
UACGUAGGGGGCAAGCGUUGUCCGGAAUCAUUGGGCGUAAAGCGCGUGUAGGCGGCUUGGUAAGUCCGUUCUGAAAGCCCGGGGCUCAACCCCGGGAGGCGGAUGGAUACUGUCAAGCUUGAGUCCGGAAGAGGCGAGUGGAAUUCCCGGUGUAGCGGUGAAAUGCGCAGAUAUGCGGAGGAACACCGAUGGCGAAGGCAAUCCCCUGGGCCUGCACUGACGCUCAUGCACGAAAGCGUGGGGAGCAAACAGG